CCGACUGGCCGGCACAGAAAAUGCUACUCUCUCUAUUUCCACCGCAAACUCCUCUAUCCAGUCCCGCCAACCACCACCAUAACUGCUGCUUACUCUUCUGCCCUACCGCCGUAACCGCCGUCGCCACCAAAUACACCGUUCUCUGCAGAGCAGCCGCUCAUGCCUCCCCGCAAAGGCCAACCCUACUCACUCACACCGCCUCCUCCUUCUCGCCUUCUCCUUCUACUGCUACCCCUGACUAUCUCCGUCAAGUGAGCGACACUUGUGCCGGCGAUGAUCCCGCUCAAGCUGGAGGAGACGAGCCGGCAAUGGUGUCUUCCGCCUCGGCCGUUGCGGCGGCAAUUCGAAAUUCCUCCUCUUCGCCUGUGGAAUUCGUGCAGGUAGUAGAGAAAGACGGCGACAAUAACAGAAACUUGGUCCUCCCUAGCCCCGACUUCCAGAGUCUUUGCCUUGAACAGUUGGACCUCUUUCGUCGCAUUGUCCAUCCCGAAGCUAUAUUUUCGGUUUAUGUGAGACCAGCUGGUAGCUACGUUAUGGACCGUCUAGAGUUGCGCCGUAUCACUUUAUAUCCAGGUCUUAAUACCGCUGAUAUUGUAAUUCUCAUUGGAACCUUUAGCGUUGCCACGGGUUUAAGAGCUGCAGAAGCUGCUCUUUCCAACCUAGAGGCAGAAUUACUUCCUGAGCUUGGAGCUGUGGUGUUUCCUAUGGUGAAACACCCCUUUGUUGUUGGCUUCUUAGUUGCUGAGCUUCCAACUACUUCUAUUGAUAAAGGAUUACAUGAUCCAGAAGCUUGGUCUGGCAAAGGGGAGCUAUAUUCUUUGCCCCACGGUGUGGAGCCCAAAUCAUUCGCACUCCAAACAAGCGAAGCCAACUUAAUGGGGAUGUUCAAUUUCAGUGCUGAGCAAAGACUUAAUGCUCUUCACAUUUCUCGCUCAAUAGCAAUGGCUUAUGUAAUGGACCAGAAAGCAAUCCUGCUCCAGCAGUCCUCCUGGCAAAAUAAUGUGAGGAUGAGUAAUUUGGUUGAACAAAUUCGGAGUUCCCUUUCCAGCAUGCAAACUUUGAGCAAAAUGUUAUCUGUCCACACAAAGAAAAAUGAGGUAUCAUAUGAUAUUGUGGAGGACAUUUUGGAGCAAGGUGAUUCAAUGAGAGAUACUCUUCAACAGAUGCAGGAUGCUGUUCACCUCACAAAGGCUAAUAUUACCCGCUUUAAUGAAGACAAACUGAAGAAGAUGCACCAGCCAAUUUUUGCUGAUAAUUCUUAUAAGCAACAGGAGUCUAGAGGACAAUUUUCUCUAAAUUUGAGAUCUACGGAUCAAGAGUUGCCAAUGCCACCUCUUGCUCUUGCACCUUUACAUCGAGAAGGAAUCAGACCGUGCAACAUGUCAAAUGUACUAACAGAAUUGGUUGAGGCAAUGGAACCUAUAGCACAUAAUCAGCAGAGAGCUGUGGAACUGUGUGAACAAACAGGAUCCUUACAUGUAGCUGUUGAAGAACCUGCUUUACGGCAAGCUUUGGGCAAUUUGAUUGAAGGUGCUUUAUUGCGUACUCAAGUUGGGGGAAAGGUUGAAGUUCUGUCUACUGUAGCCCCUGCAGGUGGUGCUCUUGUUGUAAUUGAUGAUGAUGGGCUUGAUAUGCACUAUAUGACACAGAUGCAUUCUCUUGCACCAUUUGGGGCGGAUCUUUUAUCUGAAGGCAAAGUGGAGGACAGCAUGACAUGGAAUUUUGUUGCUGGGCUAACUGUUGCUCAAGAAAUACUAGAGACUUAUGGAUGUGUUGUCCGUGUCAUAUCACCUAGAACAACAGAUAUUGCUUUUGGGGCUGGGGGAACCCGUGUGGAAAUUUGGUUUCCUUCUCUGUCUUAAGUGGCUCCACAUGCAGUAUAUCAAGGACUUAGCUAGAUUGAUGAAUGAUGGCUCAACCUUUGGCGCAAGAUAAGGGUUUAAAUUCCUCAAGGUUGUAUCCAUUCCAAUAUUAAUGUGCAACAUAAUUCCUUCAUCUCCUUCUACCUUCCUUACUGAAAGCCCGCCCUUCAAUUCAUUUUGCCUUAACUCUUAAUGGAGGUGAUUGUGGUGUGCCUUCUCCUCAUCUUCCAUAUUCCCUUAAUGAAUGGUGAAAUCCAGAAUUUAGAUGUAUUCUCCGAAUCACGAAAUGUCAUCAUGUUUGAAGAUUUCGGGUUUUCCAAAGGUGGUUGUAUCUCUAUUUCCCUUUCCUCUGUUUCUAUCUCGUCAAAAUCCACGAACCCUACCAACUCCUCCCUCAUGGGUUUCUUUUAUGCACCCUCCCCAGCUUUUAAUGCCCUAGAAGAUGCAUUAUUCAAUCAUUCAUGUAUCUUGGGAAAACCCUUCAUUUUCCCAAUUGUCACCUUCAAUGAACUCUCCAAUUCUUCUCUAACAUCCAUCAACAGAACCAUUCCCAUCACCAGCCCAGACCUAUAUUAUGUUUUCUUCCUAAACUGUGCCCCUGAAACCUUCAUUUCCAUGCAGGUAGAUCUCGAAACCUAUAACCUCAACCCUAAAGGUAAUAAAGACUUCAUUGAUGAACACUUCAUUGUCUCCCCAGCAAUCGGUUUCAGUUUAUCAGCUGUUUAUUUCAUCUUCUUGAUGUUAUGGAUAUAUGCAUGCUACAAAAACUCGCGGUUUGUUCACAGAAUCCACAUCCUCAUGAUGGCCCUGCUUCUCGUAAAAUCCUUGGAACUCUUUUUCAGAGAUGAAACUCAACGCUUUGUCAGGUUCACCGGCACUCCCCAUGGCUGGGACAUUUUAUGGUUAGCUCUAACCUUCAUCAGGACCCUGUUGUUCGAUAUUGUCUUCGUGCUAAUGGGAAGCGGCUGGUCACUACUAACACCAUGUCUACCAGACAUACAAAAACUUGUGCUGGCAUUAUCAGUUCUUAUGCAAUUGGUAGUUAACAUUUGCUUCAUCGUACUGCAAGGGAUGGGGCCGUUGAUCGAGAACUACAGCUACUGGGUUGUCACAUUCUAUGCCGUAGAUUUCACAUGUUCCAUGUUGAUUGUCUUCCCCGUCUCCCACACCAUCGACAACCUUAGAGAAACUUCCAAGACAGAAGGAAAAGAGGAAAUAAGCUCUUUUCAGUUGACGCUCUUCUGUUCUAUCUAUAUCUGUCUCCAAGCCUAUGUGUACAUCGAAAAAUUAGGGAUAUUCAUACUCAGAACUUUCCUGAGUUACAAUUUCUGGUGGGUUAGUGUUAUAUUGGAGCAAGCCAUUGAAGGUGGUGUUUACAUGGUGGCCUUUUACACGUUCCGGCCUAACGAAACGAACGAUUACUACGUCCUUGAAGAGGGAAAUGGAGAAGAGCUUGCUCCUGUUUCUUCUAUGCCUACCCCAGUUGCCUGAAGAACAUCAUCUUCGAGCCUUUGAGGUUAAUUCUUCGUGCUAAGUGCUUGUCAGAUUGCAUUGCUUGCAGAGAGUUAUGCAAUAUGAAGACAUGAAGUGAUUGCAGUCCAAUAUGUGGGGCUUUAGUUUAGCAAUAAGCUAACAUUAAUUUUAACAUUUGUCCUGUAUAUACGUCUUUUUUUUUUAACCAAUUCAUGUACAGUUAAAUUUAACUUAUAAUAUGCCUUUUAAGUGCAUGCAAAUAUUCUGGUUGAAACGGUGAAGAUUUGGAAAUGUAAAAGAAGAAAUCAGUCUCA